CGCGUAGGCGGCGCGGUAAGUCACUUGUGAAAUCUCUGAGCUUAACUCAGAACGGCCAAGUGAUACUGCAGCGCUAGAGUGCAGAAAGGGCAAUCGGAAUUCUUGGUGUAGCGGUGAAAUGCGUAGAUAUCAAGAGGAACACCUGAGGCGAAGGCGGGUUGCUAGGCUGACACUGACGCUGAGGCGCGAAAGCCAGGGGAGCAAACG
rnacentral:rRNA from 1 species